ACUAAAUCUAAGUCUUGUGACAGUGAAAGAAAAAGACAAUGAAGAGCUCACCAUCAAAAUCAGCUUGUACACUGUGAUAAGAAAUUGUGGCAUCUGCUUUGAGGAGAAUGCAUUUCAUAUCCAUGGAAAAGGCUAUUCUUCGGCAUAUAAGGCUAUGAAUUAGUAAACACUGUGAAAUGUUGCCUCUGUAAGAUGACUAUAUAAGCCUGUGGAUGUCUUCAUUUAGCCUUAAAGUGCCUCAUUAAAGAAGCGCCCUCCCAGAAGUUGUUAAAUGUAUAAACACUUUUCUGAUUGGUUUAAAAAUUUAGACACAGGAAGUGGAUGGUAUCUAAUAACCCAUGAGUGGAGACAUGGUUGUUAUGGAAACUCAGAAGAGUAACCCCACCCCCCACCACUACAUAUACAUCCACUACCACGACCACCACUUUAAAAAAAAAAAAAAAAAAACACCCUGCAUGUCACCACAGAUGCCUGGAGAACACGCUGGCUUCUGUAAGCUUUCCCACAGCAUCUGUUGAAACCUGAGAUCCUGCCUGUCAAAUCAAGGUCAUUUUACAACAACAACCAAAAAUGCAGUCUCCUGGAUUUCAUAACUGUAUUUUUAUUGAAAAUAGUUCAGGAAAAAGCCUGAGAGCCAGGAUGAGCACUUAUGCUUACUUAGCAUUUUGCUACCUCUUGAGUUGUG
rnacentral:lncRNA from 1 species